rnacentral:rRNA from 1 species
AUUGAACGCUGGCGGCAUGCUUUACACAUGCAAGUCGAGCGGCAGCGCGGGGGGCAACCCUGGCGGCGAGCGGCGAACGGGUGAGUAAUGCAUCGGAACGUACCCUGGAGUGGGGGAUAACGCCGCGAAAGCGGCGCUAAUACCGCAUAUGCUCUGAGGAGGAAAGUGGGGGACCGCAAGGCCUCACGCUCUGGGAGCGGCCGAUGUCCGAUUAGCUAGUUGGUGAGGUAAAGGCUUACCAAGGCGACGAUCGGUAGCUGGUCUGAGAGGAUGAUCAGCCACACUGGGACUGAGACACGGCCCAGACUCCUACGGGAGGCAGCAGUGGGGAAUUUUGGACAAUGGGGGCAACCCUGAUCCAGCCAUGCCGCGUGAGUGAAGAAGGCCUCGGGUUGUAAGUACGUCUUUUGGUUCGGGUAAGGAAAGUAGACCU